CCUACGGGGUGCAGCAGUGAGGAAUAUUGGUCAAUGGACGAGAGUCUGAACCAGCCAAGUAGCGUGAAGGAUGACUGCCCUAUGGGUUGUAAACUUCUUUUAUAUGGGAAUAAAACGUUCCACGUGUGGGAUUUUGUAUGUACCAUAUGAAUAAGGAUCGGCUAACUCCGUGCCAGCAGCCGCGGUAAUACGGAGGAUCCGAGCGUUAUCCGGAUUUAUUGGGUUUAAAGGGAGCGUAGAUGGAUUGUUAAGUCAGUUGUGAAAGUUUGCGGCUCAACCGUAAAAUUGCAGUUGAAACUGCCAGUCUUGAGUACAGUAGAGGUAGGCGGAAUUCGUGGUGUAGCGGUGAAAUGCUUAGAUAUCACGAAGAACUCCGAUUGCGAAGGCAGUUCACUGGACUGCAACUGACACUGAGGCUCGAAAGUGUGGGUAUCAAACAGGAUUAGAUACCCCAGUAGUC
rnacentral:rRNA from 1 species